UACGAAGGGUGCAAGCGUUAAUCGGAAUUACUGGGCGUAAAGGGUGCGUAGGCGGUUAUUUAAGUCUGCCGUGAAAUCCCCGGGCUCAACCUGGGAAUGGCGGUGGAUACUGGAUAGCUAGAGUGUGUCAGAGGAUGGUGGAAUUCCCGGUGUAGCGGUGAAAUGCGUAGAGAUCGGGAGGAACAUCAGUGGCGAAGGCGGCCAUCUGGGACAACACUGACGCUGAAGCAGGAAAGCGUGGGGAGCAAACAGG
rnacentral:rRNA from 1 species